CUCAGAAAUUUCUGUUGCGUUGCGGUUGCAAGUCUCCACGGUGUUCCCUCUCCUUGUUUCCUACUGCAGGUUUCUCGCUGGGUUCGCUGGAGCUUACCUUUGUUGCUGUGAAGACAGAGACAGCACGUUGCUGCGAAAUUUCCAUUAACUUAUACCGACUCCACAUUAGCACAUCCCAGAAGACGCUGCGCAUCAAAUCUAUUUGCUGCUAUUUGCUUCCCCAGUAAAUGCCGUGUUACGUUUAGGCCGGGAGCACACCAAGGAAACUUGACAGCUCAACGCAACCGCGAUUUCCGAGAAGAAUCGCCGAUUUCAAGCAGGCAAUUGGUUUCCAGAUUAGUCGGCGCACACUGCGGAAACUUGCAUUCGAUUAGUUACAUCAUCUAAAGUGGGUGUCUACAAGCCUAAUUCGUGUACUUCUCGUCUGCAAUGUCAGAUAAUAAUACUGAUCCUCCAAUUAUAAGGUGGUGGUUGAGAAGGCGUAAGAGGAGAAGACAGGAGUAGAGGAAACUUUGGGUGUAUCCAUUCUUUCGCGACAAUUUAAACGCAGGUGCUUAUUUUGUUUCGAAAGAACUUAAAUCAGGAUCCAGACCUGUUCAAAUCAUUUUACAGAAUGAGCAUGAAAGUGUUUCUUUAUUAGUGGAUCUUGUAGGACCUCAAAUUCGAAGACAAGAUACAAAUUUUCUUACAGCUGUGCCAGCAGAAGAAAGACUACUGAUUACUCUGAGAAUGAUGUAUCCUCUUCUGUGUGCGGAGCUGCCAAAUUGCCUUCCUGGUGUCUAUCUUUCGUUAUGUAAGGAAUCAUCAACUGCAUCGCGUCAUAAAGAUAAUAUGGACGUUUUUUUAGUACCAGACGACCCAGAAGGUGUCUUAUGCAAACGGCGGACGAAAACUGUUCUUAAAUGUUUCCACCUCUCUUUACAGGCUGCGACUGAAAAAAGGUAUUUGGCUACUGGCAGCAGUUUCGCAGCAUUAAGUUUUCAGUUUAUGAGGGGACAGAGAACAAAAUCUGCCAUAAUAGCAGACACUACAUCUGCAAUAUGGACGAUAUUGCAACCCCUGUUCAUGCCACCACCGAACGAAUCAAAUGGAAAAUCAUUGCACGAAGAUACCUUGAUCUUUGGAAUUUGCCAAUUUGCAUAGUUUCAGUUGAUGGGAGACAUGUCGCCAUAAAAUGCUUUCUUAAAACCGCAUCACUAUAUUACAACUACAAGGGCUAUUUUUCAAUAAUACUACUGGCAUGUGCAGACGCCGAUGCCCUAUUUACUACUGUCCAUAUCGGAGAUUUCGGCAAGAACAGUGAUGAGUCUGUAUUUAGGGCCUCUAAACUCGGAGAGAUGCUGGAGAUUGAAGAACUGCACAUCCCAUUUCCAACUUCUCUACCAUUGGAAGAGAGCGGCGAAAAGUUUCCCUACUACUUCAUGUAAUGUAGUUUGUUUACGUUCGCGUGAGGAUGGUGAUUCACACACGAACUCAGGAUGUUAGGAGUGUGUCACUACGUCUGGGAACGUAGAAGGUAACGUGAAUAGCUGCCACCAGGUGAUUUGACCUGAAUCACCACAGGUAAGAUGUUAUUGCACUACUCCAACAGGUGAGAUGCGCUGGCCAGCUGUGAUGUUGAACUCUACCUGCCAAAGUCGUAUAGCGUGUUGUGAACCGAAGCGUUGGGCGUGUAGAUAAGUGAGAUCUCCUUGAAGACUCGGAUGUGUGAAAUAAGGUAGACGACACGAGCUUGUGAGGUGAAACCAAACACUUUACUUGAUCAAGACAUGAAAUAAGUACAAACAGGAAUCAAACCCCCGACUUUACGAGAGCAGUACGCUCUCAAGCGUACAGUGCAUGCUGCACUAUCUUAAUGGCUUUUACAUCCCCGAAUGGUUACAAUAUAUAGUAUUGUCUUUGGGUGUGGCAAAAUCAUGUGACUUCAUAGCGUCUAUUUCCUUAUAAGGAGAGUGUUGUGCCUGGAUUUUCCAGCUAAUUCCCGGAACCAUAACGUCACUCUCAGUGCCGUGUGCAGCUAAGAUGACUUUAUUUUCAAGUUGCGAAAUAUCUGUUUAUAAUAUUAUAUUUCAGCAUCCUGUUACACUCACACAAUAUAUAUGGACAAAUACCGUCUUAAGUGCAACA